ensembl:lncRNA
CUUGUCUUCCCCUAUAAUAAUCAAUGUAAGCUACUUAAAGACUUACAAAUUGAGAGUAAAACAGAAACAAAAUAAAUACUGUACAUUUUCCCUGCCUGCAGGCUAAAGAUGGGAAAUACUGUCAUGAAUUAGAAAAAAAUGCUCUUAAAGCUUCUGCAUCCCACUCCCCAGCCACACCCCGUCCCACCGUGACAUGUGUGCUUCUGUACUCAAAGGACACACAUGUGCACACACACUGGCAACCUACACAUAGACAAGACACUACCCCGCAGACACCCCCAAUGAGAAGGCAACAAUCAGCCACCUGGGACUGUGGGCAUAAAAACCAGUAAGGAAAGUCAGGCUAGCAAAACAUUACUACAAAACUAGUAAAUACCAUAGCCAACAACUGUCCCCUUUGCAAAUUUCACAGUUAAAACCCCCUAAAACCAAUACUAACCCUCCCAUCCAUCACCACCCUCCAACAUCCCCCAAAAGAAAACUUGCUGAAGCACUGGUAAAGUUAGACAUUUCACAGUAAAGUGAAAAUUCAUAUUAUAUAAUCUCUAACAUGAACCUUUUCACCCUCUUUCCACAGCAUGAAACUGUUAUGGCUUAAUUUAUAUUAAAAGUAGAAAAGUCUUUUCUGAGGGAAAUGCAGCGUGCAAAGAUGCACGUGCAUUUUCUGAUCAGUGCUAUUUCAUACGUUAACAACUUCAUGACUUGCUUUUGCAGUCAGAAGCUGUUUUUGGAAAAACUGAGGUUAUAGCUUUUGAUUCAGUCUAACCAUAAACUGUAAGGCCCUUAGUUUGGUUUAGGUUUCUUUUGCAAGAUAAAAUAACCUUGGGGUUCACUUAGCAAGUUACACCUUAGGUCCCUGACUAUAAUGUGGAAACUGUAUGUAUGCUUUGUAAAAAUAAAAGGUUACUUAUGAAUCUUAGAGGGAAGAAGUGACUCUAGGCAAGGAAUUAACUCCUUAGUAUAUAUUUAUAUUUAAUGCUGGUAAUUUUUACAAACCAAAAUCCAUCAAAG